rnacentral:rRNA from 1 species
CCUACGGUGGGCUGCAGUAAGGAAUAUUGGACAAUGGGCGCAAGCCUGAUCCAGCCAUGCCGCGUGCAGGAUGACGGCCCUAUGGGUUGUAAACUGCUUUUAUACGGGAAAAAACCCCUCUACGUGUAGAGGGCUGAUGGUACCGUAAGAAUAAGGAUCGGCUAACUCCGUGCCAGCAGCCGCGGUAAUACGGAGGAUCCGAGCGUUAUCCGGAUUUAUGGGGUUGUAGGGGGACGUAUACGUCAGUGGUGAAAUCCUGCAGCUUAACUGUAGAACUGCCAUUGAUACUGCAAGUCUUGAGUACAUAUGAUGUGGGCGGAAUGUGUAGUGUAGCGGUGAAAUGCUUAGAUAUUACACAGAACACCAAUUGCGAAGGCAGCUCACAAAACUGUAACUGACGCUGAGGCACGAAAGCGUGGGGAGUGAACAGGAUUAGAUACCCGGGUAGUC